AUUGAACGCUGGCGGCAGGCCUAACACAUGCAAGUCGAGCGGAGCGGCGGACGGGUGAGUAAUGCCUAGGAAUCUGCCUGGUAGUGGGGGAUACCGUCCGUAAACGGGCGCUAAUACCGCAUACUAUCAGAUGAGCCUAGGCCGGAGUGGCUAGUUGGUGGGGUAAAGGCCUACUAAGUCGACGCUCCGUAACUGGUCUGAGAGGAUGAUCAGUGACGCUGGAACUGAGACACGGGCCAGAUUCCUACGGGAGGCAGCAGUGGGGAAGAUGGGACAAUGGGCGAAAGCCGGAUGCAGCCAUGCCGCGUGUGUGAAGAAGGUCUUCGGAUUGUAAAGCACUUUAAGUUGGGAGGCGUUACCAACAGAAUAAGCACCGGCUAACUUCGUGCCAGCAGCCGCGGUAAUAC
rnacentral:rRNA from 1 species